GGAUAUGAGGGUGAUCUGGCUGCAACAUCUGUCACCCCAUUGAUCACCAAGGUUGAUUCGGCUGAUCUGGCUGGCUAGGAGGGUGUCCCCUUCCUCCCUCACAGCUCCAUGUGCGUCCCUCCCUAAGCUGCACACUUGGUCAAAAAGGAUGACCUUCCCCAAUAAAGGAGAGACCAUUCUUUGGUCAAGGGUAUACGAGUAGCUGUGCUCCCCUGCUAGAACUUCCAAACAAGCUCUCAAGAAGUAAAGAAUAGGCUUAUAGAGAUCAUGACCGCACAGGCUUCUUACUUAUAUUUCCAAUUAUAAUCAUAUCAUG
rfam:Mustela putorius furo unplaced genomic scaffold scaffold00035, whole genome shotgun sequence.